CUACGGGCCGCAGCAGUGGGGAAUCUUAGAUAAUGGGCGCAAGCCUGAUCUAGCCAUGCCGCGUGAGUGAUGAAGGCCUUAGGGUCGUAAAGCUCUUUCGCUGGGGAAGAUAAUGACGGUACCCAGUAAAGAAACCCCGGCUAACUCCGUGCCAGCAGCCGCGGUAAUACGGAGGGGGUUAGCGUUGUUCGGAAUUACUGGGCGUAAAGCGCGCGUAGGCGGACUGUUAAGUCGGGGGUGAAAUCCCGGGGCUCAACCCCGGAACGGCCUUCGAUACUGGCAGUCUGGAGUUCGAGAGAGGUGAGUGGAAUUCCGAGUGUAGAGGUGAAAUUCGUAGAUAUUCGGAGGAACACCAGUGGCGAAGGCGGCUCACUGGCUCGAUACUGACGCUGAGGUGCGAAAGUGUGGGGAGCAAACAGGAUUAGAUACCCGGGUAGUC
rnacentral:rRNA from 1 species